rnacentral:rRNA from 1 species
UACGUAGGGUGCGAGCGUUGUCCGGAAUUAUUGGGCGUAAAGAGCUUGUAGGCGGUUUGUCGCGUCUGCUGUGAAAAUCCGGGGCUCAACCCCGGACUUGCAGUGGGUACGGGCAGACUAGAGUGUGGUAGGGGAGACUGGAAUUCCUGGUGUAGCGGUGAAAUGCGCAGAUAUCAGGAGGAACACCGGUGGCGAAGGCAGGUCUCUGGGCCACUACUGACGCUGAGAAGCGAAAGCAUGGGGAGCGAACAGG